GGCGCUAUUUGAAAUUUAUCCAAAUUUACCGGGAGCACCGGUAAAUUUUUAUAUUCAAUUUUUCUCGAAAGCAGAAGUGUUUGAGUGGCUAAUUUUUUAAUUGCUUAUUGCCCAUCCACAGGGGCAUCCAAAUAUAUCAGAAUUGUAAAGAAUCGCUCUCCAGCCAAUUUUCAAAAUUUCCCAAAACUUUGUAUUACCUUUAAUGUACUAUAUGAAUGAAAAGUGGGGUGAUAAAAAGUAGCUACGUGCAACAAAGGACCUUGACAUAUUCGGUGAUUGGUUUGUUGUAAGACGCGAAAAUGUAAGCUGUAGUAUGCAGUAUGCUUGUAAAAAAAACACUGCAGUAAACUGGCAUAUGUAAAAAAUCCUUUACUGCUGUCAUAAUCAUCCGUUGGUCUUCAGGCUUGUCUUUGAUAUCCCAAUCUUAUCAUUACUGAAACACUUCACAAUCAUUGUUAUCUUUGUGCUUCAUCGUUUCAACUAUUAUCUACACGUACCUCCUGCUCUUUCUCCUCUUUAGAGUCUUCUUUCUCUCUGUGUCUCUCAUCCAUCUAUCUAUCCUCCAUCCAUCCUCCUCAACCCGUCAUUCUUUCUCAUUCAUUUCUUCUCCUUCUCAUUCUUCUCUUCCACCUUAUCAUCAUCACCAUCACUGCUGUUAUCACCAUAGUAAUAAGCUUAACCACACCCACUUUCUUAGGUGCUUAAAGUUAUUUUGUUCUUCAACUGCCACAUAUUUUUUGUUACUAGGCUGAGUAUAUCAUCUUUGCAUAUUUUGUAUUGCAGCUACCAAAAGCUCCUCUUGUAAUGGGUUUAAGUACACUACAUGUGUAUGAGAAAACUUAAUUUGAUAUUACCUCUCAUUUCUAGAUUUGCUGAUGUUAUGCUCAAAUGUUCUAAAUAUUUAAAGUGAUCAUAAUUCACCACACCUGACGUAAAAAAAACAACCACUCAAACUUACAAGAAGUUUACCAUUGUAUCUGUGGUGGCGUUUAUGGGCCACGACUUGAAACUAGCAACCAUAUGUGAACGCACAUAAUUAGCAGAUAUUAAAUGAAUAUCUAUAGAAUAUGUCUUUUUAACUUCAAUCAUGUUUAAAAAUUGAAAUAAAAUAAAAAAUCAUAUCAUUUGGAUGAACCCUCUAUAGUAUAACAGUAUGUCAAUUUAUCAAAAUGUAUUGAAAUAAUUUGAUUACAGACUGAGGCAAUCUGUUUCUUCUUUAUCUCCAUAUGUUCCAAAUAUAGUAUUGAUGGCACUGUUAAUUGGAUGUCAUUAUCUCCAUGAAGUUUUGGAUGCUAGAGUGCCUUGGACACAAAUGGUUAAUAUGAGCACUCUCCAAGAAGCUCAUAUUAUUAUAUGAAUAUAGCAAGAUGAAAUCAACAUUAGGAUUUCUUUAGGCUGAGGUAAAAUACAAUCAUUUUAUCAUUAUUAGUAGUUUUACUGGUGCGUGUUAAGAUAGGGAGGACGCCGUCUUUUUGUUCAAGUUUGCUCGUUGGUCCGCGAAUCGGUAUUGUGUAGUUUAACACAUGAUACAAAUUGUGUACAUCAUCACUGUGUUUCUACUUUAUAUGUUUUUUUUUAUUUAGUGAUCAUUAAUAUCUUAUCUCAGGUCCUUCCUAAAGUUCAUUGUCUUUCUCUUGUUUAAAAGUAUGCACAAAGAUUGUGUUAAAAGAUGCAAGGAAUGCUGAAAUACAUUUUGGUACAGAUUCUGAAAUUCGA
rnacentral:lncRNA from 1 species